CACUCUUAAUUUAGUUGGGUAGAACAUGGGUCUCCAAAACCCAAUGUCGUAGGUUCAAAUCCUACGAGCAUGA